GGAGUUUUGUUGUUAAAGUUUGCAGAACAGUACCUUGCUUUUGGAGAGGUCAGUGAGGUGUUAACCACUACAGAAGCAGUUGUGCUGGAGCGAAUGCAGAUAGCUUGCACCCUACUUGAACAUCGAGGGAACGCUGAGGACUACUGCAUUGUUUGCUCUAUGUUAGAUGCUGAUGCUGACCGCAGCAUGAUUGAAAUGGUGCAGUGUGAAUCUUGCCAAAGAUGGGCACAUUUUGCAUGUGCAAAAUAUAAAGAGAGCAAUCAAGAAUAUAAAUGCAAAAAAUGUAAGGAAAACACAUAACAACUUCAAAUAAAAACAGCUGUCUUUUCCCCUCCAUGUCUCUUUGUAUUCUUUGUCAACAUUAGAUGAUUGUGUGCUGGAGGCACGUUUUGAUAGUGU